UGAGCUGACCCUUGAACAGUGUGGGUUUGAACUGUGCGCGUGAGUGGGCCUGGGCAGUUCAAGCCCAUGCUGUUUGGGUUCCCUGCAA